GCUCAUUUCUAUAGAUAUAUAUAUGGUUAUAUUUCUUAUCAGAUUGACUGCUUAACUGCUCUAGCUAACUUCCUCUGCAUCUACCUUUUUCACAGAACUAUGCUUCUUACAAUCAUAAAAGAAAACCACAAAGAUCACCCACUUUAACACAUUUGCCAAGCAAACAAGCCCAAUAUGUAAUAUUGUGCCAAUGACUUCACCUCCUCCUGUCUUCCAUCCAGCAUAGAGGCAUGAUAAUCUCAGGCCAAGUCUCCAGGCAAAUAAUACCAGCAUUAGAACAAAUCCACAUAGCUUUCUACCUCUGCUUAGAUAUACUGCAACAACUAAGGCCUCAUCACCUUGUCUUUCUUCUAAAACUGAAAUCACAAUACCCAGGUUCCAGACAGC
rnacentral:misc_RNA from 1 species